rnacentral:ncRNA from 1 species
GAUUGAGUUAGAGGCGCAACUUUGAUGAGUAGCGGUUGGGUUGUAUGAUGGUACAAAGCCCCAACAUGUGAAAGGUAAAGUUGCCGAAACGGAAAUGGACCAUCGCCAUUUCUCGUUGGGCUAGUGUUCGAAAGGCGCUAGACUGUCACAAAUGUGAUGUGCUACCGAUUCA